rnacentral:rRNA from 1 species
CCUACGGGCGGCUGCAGUGAGGAAUAUUGGUCAAUGGGCGGAAGCCUGAUCCAGCCAAGUAGCGUGCAGGAUGAAGGCCCUACGGGUUGUAAACUGCUUUUAUACGGGGAUAACCCGCCUUACGUGUAGGGCUUUGCAUGUACCGUAUGAUUAAGGAACGGCUAAUUCCGUGCCAGCCGACGCGGUAAUACGGAAGGUCCGGGCGUUAUCCGGAUUUAUUGGGUUUAAAGGGAGCGUAGGCGGCAUGUCAAGCGUGCUGUGAAAUGUCCGGGCUCAACCCGGGCCGUGCAGCGCGAACUGGCGUGCUUGAGUCCGCGGAAAGCAGGCGGAAUUCGUCGUGUAGCGGUGAAAUGCUUAGAUAUGACGAAGAACCCCGAUUGCGAAGGCAGCUUGCUGCAGCGGAACUGACGCUGAUGUUCGAAAGCGCGGGUAUCGAACAGGAUUAGAUACCCUUGUAGUC